rnacentral:rRNA from 1 species
GACGAACGCUGGCGGCGUGCUUAACACAUGCAAGUCGAACGGAAAGGCCCUGCUUUUUUGGUGUGCUCGAGUGGCGAACGGGUGAGUAACACGUGAGUAACCUGCCCUUUACUUUGGGAUACCUUCAGGAAACUGUGGCUACUACCGGAUAGGAGCUCCUCCUGAAUGGUGUGGGUUGGAAAGUUUCGGCGGUUGGGGAUGGACUCGCGGCUUAUCAGCUUGUUGGUGGGGUAGUGGCUUACCAAGGCAUUGACGGGUAGCCGGCCUGAGCGGGGGACCGGCCACGUGAGGUCUGAGAUACGGCCCAGACCCAUACGGGAGGAAGCGGAGGGGAAGGUAGUAUAAUGGGCGGAAGCCUGAUGCAGCGACGCCGCGUGCGGGAUGACGGCAUGCGGGUUGUAAACCGCUGUCGCCUGUGACGAAGCGUGAGUGACGGUAAUGGAUAAAGAAGCACCGGCUAACUACGUG